CAUCUACCUCCUCCUUUCAGAGACAAUUAUGAAAAUAACAGAAGAUUUGCCAUUUUACAUUUUAGGAUGAGACUUCAUUCCAUUACAGGAAGUACUUGUGAGGAAUGUACCACCUACAUCAGCUUCUAGCUGACUUGCUGCAUUUGCAGUAAAACCCUCUGUCAAUAAUUGCAUUCUGUGUUUUAUGAACUAAGAGUACAAGUCCCGAACUUAGGAAUUUACUGAUGGCUCCAACACGACCCCAUUGUCACACCUGCACCCAGCCCAAACCUUGGCAGUGGAGGAAGGUCCCCUGGCACAACUUAAAGAAAGCAGAAGACAUUGAAAGCAGGAAUGUCACAGGACAUCAAACAUACAAGAGCGCCAAGCAAACCUCUUUCUUCCAAAUGUGGUCUCUAGAAGAAGCCAAGUAGAGCUACAGUUCAGGUUUCACAUCAUCAAUGUGGAGCCUAUGGGAACCAAAGGUGACUUUAGAAUGGAUCUGCUGAUGCAACCCUGGGUUCUGUGUCUGUAACGCUCAGAGCUGAAGCCUGAGGGAUGAAGAACCCAGCUGUGCCGCCCUACUUCGUUAAGGAGUAUUUACUCACUUUGAUUACUCCCAUAAGGAAGUGGAUUUUAGUUACUGGUUUGACAUGGAGCCUUCAGGAAGAGACACUCUAUUCCAAAAGCCUCUGCCAGGGCACAGCAUCUCCUGGUGCCUUCUCACCAUCCCUGGCCAACAUUCUCAUAAUCACAAGACAAGAAAUAUUCUUCCUUGGGACAGUCUAAAUGGUACAUAAAUCAGAACAGCUGAAUUAAGAUUUGAAAUGUG
rnacentral:lncRNA from 1 species